UACAGUCAUGUGUCAUCAGCAUAAAAGAGGAAAACGACUCCACAUGAUCUAAGAAGAACCUUCAGGGGAAGCAUAUGCAAAGAGAAGACUAUGGGACCAAGUCUAGCGCCUUGGGGGACUCCACUUUAGAGAGCGGUUUAUCAGGAUGUGAAGGAGGAAAAAACUAUCUGUUUGCAGCCCGAUGUGAUGCAAAUGCAAGACUGCAUGGUCAGGUAUAGACUGACAGAUCUGUGAUCUUUUUCCACAUAUUAGCUUAGAUUUAUUUCUAAGAUGCCUGUUUUUAUAGUUUCUAUCUGUAUUGUUGUUGAUAUGCUCUGUGUGUUUUAUUCCCAUUAUUGAUGUUUGUUUUGAUUUUAUGUAUUGACACCAACCUGCCAAUAGGACUUGGAAUGGAAAUUAGCUGAUGGCUAUAGUCAAGAUGGCCGCCCCUACAGGAG